AAAACCAUUAACAAUGGUUCAACUGGUAAUAGUUCUGCUUCAAGUUCAUGAAAAUAGAAGUGUUUAGCAUGCUGCAGAAACUGCUCUUCAGGUUCAGGCGCGAGUAUAAUGAAAGAAGAGAAGUGGACAUGUAUAGAUGUAUGGGUACCUUAAUGACUCCAUGGGCAAGAGCAUGAGGCGCUUGAUAACCAGAACUUCUAAUAGGAGAGAA
rnacentral:misc_RNA from 1 species